ACGUUGGCUGUGUGCCUAAGGUAUGCUAGUCGGACGAUCCCUUUGAAUUACUUGAGACUUCGGUUGAUUGUUUUUCUUUUUGGGAUAGUGGCAAACGGGUGAGUAACAUGUGGAUUAUCUGCCCUGAAGACGGGAAUAGCUCAUCGAAAGAUGGGGUAAUACUCGAUAGCCUUACAUUCUUUUAGUAUGUAAGUAAAGCUUUUGCGCUUCAGGAGGAGUCCGCAUCCCNUCAGCUUGUUGGUGAGGUAAUGGCUCACCAAGGCUAAGACGGGUAGCUGGCGUGAGAGCGCGGUCAGCCACCAUGGGAACUGAGACACGGUCCAUACUCCUACGGGAGGCAGCAAUUAGGAAUCUUGCGCAAUGGGGGCAACCCUGACGCAGCGACACAGUGUGGAGGAGGAAGGUCUUCGAUUGUAAACUCCUUUUAUGAGGGAAGAAUAGAUGACGGUACCUCAUGAAUAAGCACCUGCUAACUACGUGCCAGAAGCAUCGGUGAUGCGUAGGGUGCGAACGUUAUCCGGAUUUAUUGGGCGUAUAGAGAAGCGUAGGUGUUUUUGUAAGUCUUUAGUUAAAUA
rnacentral:rRNA from 1 species